CCAAUAGCGUAUAUUAAAGUUGUUGCAGUUAAAAAGCUCGUAGUUGAAUUUCGGGAUCAAGGAAUCGGUCAUGCCUUGGUAUGUACUGGUUUUAUUGGUUCUCACCUUCUAAAGAACCAUAAUGUCAUUCAUUUGAUGUUAUGGGGAAUUAGGACUGUUACCUUGAAAAAAUUAGAGUGUUUAAAGCAGGCUUACGCUUGAAUACAUUAGCAUGGAAUAAUGAAAUAGGACGUUUGAUUCUAUUUUGUUGGUUUCUAGGAUCGACGUAAUGAUUAAUAGGGAUAGUUGGGGGCAUUAGUAUUCAAUUGUCAGAGGUGAAAUUCUUGGAUUUAUUGAAGACUAACUACUGCGAAAGCAUUUGCCAAGGAUGUUUUCAUUAAUCAAGAACGAAAGUUAGGGGAUCGAAGACGAUCAGAUACCGUCGUAGUCUUAACCAUAAACUAUGCCGACUAGGGAUCGGAUGAUGUUAAUUUUUUAAUGACUCAUUCGGCGCCUUACG
rnacentral:rRNA from 1 species